AUGGUACUAAGUAAUAAUCUGUAAAGUUUUAUAUGAAACCUUUACGAGGUUGAUAAAACAUGAGGGACAGCUAUUUGGUCUUGAGAGCAGUGUGCAUGUGUACAAUUUACAGUCAAUAAAUAAAUGUAUUCACAAGAAAUAUAUUAUUUUUUCCAAGAAAAAAACCAGAGUUAAUGAAAAUAUGUUUGAGGAUUCUUAAAAUAAUCAGAUGUAGUAUGGAACACAAAUCAUGUACAAACCCAUAUUGAACUUGCAAACUGAAAUCUCAAAAUCCCACUGGUAAUCUUCUUUGAGAAAUAACAACCUUUAAUUAACUAUCAAACUUUUCACGGACACCAUUAACAUCUUCUAAAAAAAUAUCAAUUCCUUGGAAACACACAAAGAUGUGCUUUUAUAAUGCCAAACUUGUAUACACACACACACACACACGCACACAAAUACAAAUAAUUCCACACUGCAUUGAUAUACUAGAUUUUUUGUGAAAGUCAUUUUAAAUAUUGUGGUAAAUUGUGUGAGCAGUAAUUGUGUCUCAACUGGUCAGAACUGCAGAAGCAAAGGAACAGUCGGAAAACAACCAGACUAAUCCAGUUGAUUGACAUGUCUAUCAUGGAAAGAAAAAAAUGUACUGCCAUAGGAAGUGGCUAUCUUUAUCUUUUAAACUAACGUUGUUCUCCGAUCAGCUACCCCGUGCACUUGUUUUAGCAGUUGUUGGAAAAUAGACUAUGCAUGGUGACCUAGAAAGAAUGCUGGACUAGGACUUGGGAAGCUAGCCAUGUGACCUUGGCUAAGAGUCAAGUUACUUUUCUCUAGUCUCAGUUUCCGAAUCUGUAAAAUGGCUAUAAAAAUUCCACCCUGCUUAUUUCAUGAAGAUGAUCUGAUCCACCCCCUCAUUUCAUGCAUGAGAAAACUGAGCGAAGUGACUCUCUUAAGGUCACAUAGCUAAUCAGUGACAGAACCAGGACUAGAAAUAAAAGUCUUUUGAAGACUUGGACUUUCUGCAGGAACAAAGCAGCCAUUGAAGCAAUAGACAGGAAAGCGCUCUGAGCAGUGUCCUAGAAGGAAGCACCAUGGAGUGCAUCUGCUCAACCACAGUCAAGAUCAUCGUGCGGCCAUUAAUUCAGAAACGCUUUUUGAGACUGUACCUGCACACUCAGCAAUAGCCAUCUUGCUUUUAGAAUCGGGUACAAUAUCUCAUUUUUCAAUGAAGACACAAGGAGGAAACAAUUAAGUGAAUUAAUCCAGACACUGAAGUGGAUUUUCAAAGACUUGACUUGCCCAAGCUAGUUUUCUACAAAGCCCUAAAUUAAUCAGAUAAUUGCUAAUUCUCCCUUUUGUUUUGUGCUGAGGAGAGUCUGUAUUUGUUGAAAUGAGCCUGGUAGCAGAAUAAACAGUCAUUUAAAAGAUUUCAAAAAAUUAAAAAAUCCCAAUUCUGAGCUAAGUGACCACGAGUUUCUAAGCACACUAUUUUUUUAGGCAUCUUCUCCAGUCAUUGCUUUAAUUUUCUUUAUCUGAAUGUGAAUAUUAAUACUGCUUUUAUGAUUUAAAGAGGGUUUUUUAAACAAAUGAAUGAAAACAAUCAACCUAAACUGAUCCUCUGGAAUAUUAUAAACAUGCUUUUUUACAUUGUCAGUAGAACAAAAAUUUAAAUGCCUCUCCCAAGCAUGACUAAAAACCACAGUUGAGUCUUAGAUUAAAUUCUUACUGACACAUUUGAAAAAUAUAGUCAGUACGGUUUUGAAUAAUCUCCACUUAACAGCUAUCAAAGUUUUAAAAUUAAGCAAACAAUGCUAAUUGCCCUCCUUCUAAGCCCAGGAGGGAAGUUUAGAAAGCAAUUGAAUUAAUUGGCUCUGAAAGAUUAAUUACAUAUGAAAUGAGACUCAUUGGACCUUUCCUGUUUCAUCAGAAUUUCAGACUGAAGGACAACUGGUCUUAUCGUUUAGAAUUUCUUUGCGGUUCAUCUAGCAUAGAAUAGACUAUUGUGAUGAUAAUUAAAUAUUUUACCCAAAUAAAUUUAGGACUGGAACAUUAAAAUGAACUGGAGUGAACAUGGAACUCUUCCACUGUAUUCAGUUCUUGCAUCUCAAUGUAAAGAUUUUACUGUGUGUGUGUGUGUGUGUGUGUGAUCAUUGAAUUAAUAAGUUAACUUUCAAAUUCAGCACAGCAGUGUAAUUUGGUUUUCCCAUAUUGAGCAUAAACCCAAGCGAAAAUGUGACUAAAAAUUUUAUGUAACAUAAUAGCUGUUGAUUACUCAGAUAGUUUUCAUAAACAGUUGGCAGAUUUUAAAUUAUGACAGCUGUCACUAUAAAUUCAAAGUAAAUGUUAAUUUAGAAUAUUAAACUUGCGAAUGUUUCUGCAAAUAAGGCUCGUACUAUUUCCAAAGAUUACAGAAAGUCACUAGAGGGUUUUUAACCAAACUUAGUGUAACUUUACCCUCACUGCUUUAAAAUUCUUCAGUUUGACACAUGAAAGUCUUUAAUCGUACUUGAAUGGCUUUUCAGCGAUUCCCUUGAGGAUGCUAUCUGCAUAAGAAAAUGCAUGUGAUAGGUUUAUGUCUUGGAGGUGAGAGAAGAAAUAAACUAAAGAAACAGUAGUGCCAGAGAUGCACUAUACUCUUUUAUAUAAGAAAACAAGAAAAGCAUUGGCAUCAAGUAAAGCUCCACCGCCUGUUUACUAAAUAAAGUAACCUGCAAAUACUUAGAGCAAUUACAGCCUAGGAUCCCAGGCUCUGAAGGACCGAUUGUAGGCUAAAGUUAGCACUCUUCUGUUUUGUCCUUUUGAGCAACUUAUUUCCAAGUAAAAUUUCCAUGACACUGCAAACUCUUUUCUACAAAUUACGAAAAUGGCAUGGAGUAUCGUCUUUACUCUGAUACACACAUGUAGCAUAAUGUAGUAUUCAAGUAUAGAAAUGCUUGUUUUUAAUUGAUUAAAACCAUCUUUCUCUUAGAACAUACAGGAAAAGUGAAGUGAAAGCAACAACAACACACAAAAUGCUGUACCUGCAGCAGAGGAACUCUUUCCAGCACUCACCCUUUCUGCAAGUUAGUUUCUCCUUGGCAGCACUUCUAUGCCAAAUGCUUCUACCUUCCCAAAAAUGUAUGUCAGCACAAGCCCAGACGAAACUUCAAAUCCAAGAAAAUAAAAUUAACCAUGCAGAUCAAAGGCAGACAAGCAGGGAGAUGAAAUGCCCGUAAUCUGAUCGGUGAUCAGUUGCAGAACAUCAAAGGCAGGGCUAAAUUUAUACAGAUGCACGGAUAUUAAGAAAGUUCACUUUCAGCAGGUAGUCACCCUCGAGCCUCCUCGUCCACAAAUUCUUUUGUUUAACCCGAUCACGUUGUUUUCCUCCUUUUUUUUUUUUUUUUUUUUUUUUUUGCAGCGGGGCAAUACCGGCGGUUCUCCCAAGCUUGGGCUGAGUGGCUGGAUCUGUAGCCUUUUCGGUUCCCAAGCUGUGUUGUGGAUUGUGUGUUGGAAGCCUUGCCUAGUGCCAGCGGGUUCUGCUUUAUCCCUUUCAUCUCUCUGAGCUGCAGAUCCCAUGACAUCAUUCAGCGCCUUGGGACUGGCAUCAUUUCUCAAAGACGCACAGAGCUCAGACAGCAUCUGAAGCGCGGUGGGCUUCUCCAGGACUUCUCGAAAGUAGACCAGGAAAGCUCCUGUGAAGCUGGACUCCACAUGACGUUUCCUGGGCUCCUCUGAAUACAUAGACAAUAUUUAAAAGGACAGUGUUUCCAAGUGGGCACGUGCCCAUUUCUUCUCUGAGGUAGCACAGACCUGCAACCGCGUGCGAUCCAUGUUCUGUCAAACUGCGCUCAGAAAUAAAGUUUCCUGACACACUGAUGUGUUAAAUCAUAACAAGUACAUGUUCUGCAAGGUUCUUUGGAGAAGCAGGUCAAUCCGAAAGUCUUUAUAGAAUUUAAGAACAGUAG
rnacentral:lncRNA from 1 species